GUCAAACUACUGUGGGCAGCAGGAGGAGCGACGCUCUCGCCGCUGGUGUCCAGUGAGACUGAGGAGAUCGGAGACGACGGACUGAGAGAGCUGAAAAGUGUGUGUGCUCUGGAGAGGUCAACAGGCCUGCCGAGUCCCACAAGCAAACAGCCGGAGAGACGCAAGAAUGGACAUGCAAUAAAAACAAAAGCAGCAGUUGCAGACCCUGACACCGAAGGAAUAGAAUACAUCGACGAAAAAGUGGACGGAGAUAACAACAACACUGAAAGGGAGGAAGAAACGCUGUCAGAAGUGGACGAGGACAGCGACAAAGAACGAGAGGACGACCCCGGAGCUCUGCACAUCAACAGGGUCAACCUGAGGAGGGGUCCCAGAGAAAACGAGAGGGCACGUCUGAGAGUCUGCCUGGAGAUCACACACCCUACACUCAAACUUCCUGUUUAUCGAACCUGGACAGAGCCCAAUGAGGAAAUUUCAUCUUCUGCAUGAACGCCCUGCAAGAGCGCUUCUCUAUUUCACAUAUCCCAUGUAAUGUAUCUAAUAUUUAUCUCUAAAGUACAUAUAAACCUGUAGUUCUGUUUUUUUUUUUUUUUUUUUUUUUUUUUUUUUUUUUUUUAGGGUAUCCAACUGUAUUAAAU
ensembl:lncRNA